CGCACGGGUGCGUAACGCGUAUGCAACCUACCAUCAACAGGGGGGUAACACUGAGAAAUUGGUACUAAUACCCCAUAAUAUCUCAUGCGGCAUCGCAUGGGGUUGAAAACUCCGGUGGUUGAUGAUGGGCAUGCGUUGUAUUAGCUGGUUGGUGAGGUAACGGCUCACCAAGGCGACGAUACAUAGGGGGACUGAGAGGUUAACCCCCCACACUGGUACUGAGACACGGACCAGACCCCUACGGGAGGCAGCAG
rnacentral:rRNA from 1 species